CAGUAGGUGAAACACUUGACAACCAAAUACAUAAAAAGAAAUAAAAAAGAGUUAGAAAAAUUCACAAAAAUUAAAAUUGAAAAUACAAAAAGAUUAAAAAAGAAAUUGCUUUUGAAAAAUGAAAAUAUCAAACCCCUUCUUCAGAACAAUUCAAACAGGGGGCUGCAGGUUCUUAAUCUAACAGUAAUUAAAAUUCCACUGAAACCCCAACCCUCUAUUUGAUUUUUUUUUUUUUUUUUUUUUACUCACAAGAAUUAAUUCCAACAUAGAACUCGAGCUCUGGAAGAGAUAAAAGGAAAAGACACAGAUGACUGAGUCCGACUGAGACAGAGUCGCCAGUAUACCGCAAAGGUCAGCACCCAGUUGAAUUUGCGAGUUUGGGUUCGAGUCCCAGUCACACAGGAAAGUAGGUAAUUAUCCUAACCAGCUGAAGUAUCAAAACCUGUUUCUAUAAGCCUGCACAUUACAAGUUAAUUGUCAGCAAAGGAGGGGCCGGCAACGAUAAACAACACAUCAUCUCCUAAUUAUAAAACAUGUAAAAUUAAUGUAUUUUACCAGUCCCAAAAUCCCUUUUCUUUAGAGAUAAUCUCCCCAUAGCAACUAUAAAUAUUGUGGGGGUGGAAAAAAUGACCACAAAGAAGAACAGUCCCUUCUUUUUCUCCAAACAAAUACAACCAUUUCAGCUCACAUCUAAGCUGAGAACCAUUCUAGUUCCAAGUUUCAACCAAUGAAACAACCAUAGUAUUCUCAUAAAAAUAAAAAAUGAAAUAACCAUAGAAUAAAAUAAUUAUACUCUAAUUCAAACAUUGCUUCAGAAUUUACGAUUUAUGGUAGACUCAAUUGGUCAAACCUACGGAAUUGGAAUUAAGGUUCUUACAAUACUGAAAUGAUCAAAUUUCAUUCACUCUAAACAUGAGAUGCAACUUGUACUAUUUCAAGUUAUUCAGUAAGCAUUAAGGGUGUGUUUGGUACCCCACAUUAUAUGGUAUAAAAACACCGUUUUGUAUUAAAUUUAUGCAGACCCACACGUUUGGCGCUAAAAGUAGCUACAACAACAUUACAUUAAUGAGCCGUGCUAAUGCGGCAACUGCCGCAUUAGCUAAACCCGACUGUGCUUGCCUCUUUUUUUUUUUUUUUUUUAAAAAAAAAUCUUUAUGAUUAUAAUAAUUAAAAAAUAAAUAAACUUUUGAAUUUAAUAUAGUAUUAUGUAAUAUUAAUAUUAAUCUUUUAUUUUUAUGUUAUAAUUAUUGAUAUAAAUUAAUAAAAUUACAAUUUAUUAGUAAAUUUAUAAUUUAAUAUAAUUAAUAAUAAUAUUAGUUUAAAUAAUAAUAUAAAUAUUAUUACAUAUACAAAUAUACUACAGAACUCUUACUUGAAUUAUUUAGCACAAUUCAUUUUGUUAGUGAAUAUGUUAUAAUUAAAAAUUAAUACAAUACAGUGUAGCACCAAACAUUGUACAAUAUUAUUAUAAUACAAUGCUAAUGCAAUACAGUAUAAUACAAUACAUCAGCAUUAAAAUAAUGCAAUACGAUAUAAUACAAUACAAUAUACCAAACACACUCUAAAAGAAAUUUGUUCAUCCUACGUGGUAUAAGUAGUAUACUUCAGCUAGUAUUAUGCAUCAUCAGUUAAAUCAUUUGGAUUAUUAACAUUGAUAUUUUUUUAUUAGCUGAAUUGAUGACUGUCGCACCCCUGACUUAGAGGCACGUGUGAUAAGAAAAGUUUAUCUACAUCAGAUGCAAGUAUAAGCUUUUAACAAUUAAGCUGUGACAGUUUGCUUGCAAGAACAAACGUAUACUAAUUAGAGAUGAAUAAGACCCAGCACUUCAAGAAAAAUUUGACAUUAUCUGCCCUAAAAUAUGGAUACUAUCCAAUAUAUCAAACCAGCAAUUUUUAUACCCAGCUGCUUAAAACUUCAAAAAAAUAAAAAAAUAAAAUAAAAUAAAACAUAACCUCCUCAAGUCAACUCUAUUACUCUACUACCACCAUCGGUCAAUAUGACAUUUGGGGCCUCCAGGACCCUAUUACUACAACACUAACGGAUAUGAGUGCAUCCUACUAAUAUUGCUUAGUCAUUCUUAAUACAUGUAAUAAAAAGCAUAAUAUCUACAACAAGGUAGCUUACAAAGUUUACUAGGCCAGCAAUGUCAAAGUACAACCAGAACAAUAACAAAAAUAUACGAAGACUGUUCUUCAUUUCAAAACACAACUUUCAAAAGAGGUAAUCUCCAUGUUAAGCCCCAAAUCAAAAUCAAUCCUCCACUGACCUCAAUUUCUUCACAAUAAUUUACCAAACCUGAAUAGUAAGGGGUGAGCUAAUGCCCAGUAGAUAGUUACGCACAAAAAAUGAUCUUUUUUUUUUUUUAACACCAAAGUAAUUCACACAACUUGGGUACAUUUCUAACAUGAACCAUUUAUAUAAAUAUAAAAAAAAAAUUAUUUCUUAAAACAUUUUAAGUUUGAAAGUUGGUAUUCAACAGAAACGUCAUAAGACAAGAUCAAAACAACAUACACACAUAAAUAUAGUGUUGCUCAUACUUUCUGUAGUUGUGUAAAGAAAUCCUAAAAUUACUCUUUCAAUAAUACAAAAUAAAAAAAGUGCCUGACAGUGGCGGUGCCAGAAAUUUAACUUAGCAGGGGCUAAGUUUAAAUAAUAAUGUAAUUUAAAAAAGGUCAACAAGUAACAAGUACCAAAAAUAAAAAUUCAUUAAUAUAUUCAAUACAUUUAUAAUUGAUCUCGAUGUGUUUUCAUAUGUUAAAAACGUUAAAGAAAAAACUUAUCAUCAAGAAUACAAAAUAAAUCUUUUUCUACAUGUGUAACAAUAAUGUUACUCAAUUAUUAAUCUCUAAUCUGAUUUCACAGACGAUUUUUCACAAAAUUCAUAGUUGAAAAUGCCUUUUAUUACUGUAGUGAUGACAACUAGUAAAAUCAAUGCUAAUGUUAUCAAUAAAUAAAUUAAUGAAUACAAUUUAUCUUUUUUAGUAUCAACUAUUUUUCUUGUUAGCAUAUCAAUCUGUUUCAAUUUUGAAAAUUUGUUAUUAGAACCCACCUAUGUAAUGUAAACAUCAAAUUGAAUUUUAAGUGUCAUAAGAUUCAUUGAAAAAAAAUCAUUUUGAUAAACUCAAUAAGAUAAAAUAAUUUCUAUUUUUUUGUGCGAGGAGAGUUUGGGUGCAACGAAUCUCAAAAUGACAAUUUCUUUGUGGGUUGGAAGUUAAAGAUAAAUACUUAAUAUUUUGGUUAUUUUUAAAUUUUAACAUUCUUCGAACAAAUUAAAGGCCAACAAUGAAAAUUUCACAUAAAAACAACCAAAAUACUUGCAAAUAGCUUAAAUUAAAAGUUUUCUGUCUCGUUCAAUAGGGUUGGCAAUCAAGCCCAAGCCCAACCCGAUCACACAAACAAAGUGCCCGAGCCCUAAAAAAACCCAACUGUUUUACAUUUGGGUCGGGAUAGGGUCAAGGUUGGGCUCAGACUUUCUUGAGCCCGACCAAAUUUUUUAAUUUUUUAAUAUUUAAAUAAUUUAAAUUUAUAUCUCAUAAUACCAUAGUGGUGGUUGGCAUGGCAGCAAGCGGUGCUGAUGAUGGAAGUUGCAACAACAUCUGUCGUGGGCUCAUGACGUGAGUCGCAGCUGCGGUCAAUUUGGUGGCGGGCUAGUGGCGUAAUGGAAGUAGCAACAGCAACUGGUAGCUCGCUUCUCUUGCAUUAGGGUUUAGAAUGGGAUAUGUGUGUGUUUGUGUGGUGUGAGUCGUAUGAAUGUGAAUAUGUGAUACUGUGAAUCUAUGAUCAUGUGAUGUGAGUGUGUGUUAUAUGUUCAUGUGUGCGUGAGAAAUUUUGUUAAAAUUUGUGUGCGUGAGAAAUUUUUUUUUUUUUUAAAUUUGUUAACUAAUUGGGUUGGGUCAGGCCUUAACUUGAAUUUGAUUGAGCUUUUAUUUUUAAGCCUAGCUUGAAUUUUAACCCUUAAAUUUAAAUCAAAUCUCAAAAAUUUUGGAUCAGGUCAAUUGGGUCGAAAUUCAAGUCGGACUUUUUUGCCAUCUCUAUCAUUCAAAGAGACGCCAACAAUUUUGGAAACUUUUUGUUAGACCUCAACUUUAAAAUACAGUAAAAUCUCUAUAUAGUCAUAUUAUUGGGACUGGAGAAAUUUUUUCUUAUAAAAAGGUUAUAACUCAAUAGAGGUAUAGUAUAAAAAUUUAAUUAUUAUCUUUGCUUAAUUAUCCUUAAUGCAAGUGAUAUAGAGGUAAAUUAUGUCAUGUAUUAAUAAAUUAAUAAGUGUGUCAAAUUUAAUGUAUAGACAUUAAUAAACUACAAACAUACUUGAGAAGUUAGAAAUAUUUUAGUUUCAACUUGAUAUUUCUUGAAAACUUCAUGUGUAUAGAUUGUGGACAUUUGUUUCUCAAAGGGUAAAGGAGACUUCAACACCAGUUUCUUGUGCUAUGUAUUGAAACUUGCAUAAGCUUCCUUUUCUUGUCUGUCUUGUAAAGCCACUUUGUAUUGUUUAACAAAUUCUUCCACUGAUGUCUUCUUACUAACAUAUUUGUCAAAAAAAGAGUUGAUACUUUUGGAUCGUUGGAUUGUAGAUAAUCCAGCAACGAACGUAUCAUUCAUAUAAGUCACCCAAAACUGCAGUCUUCAUUUAAUGAUCUUAGCCACUCAUUCCCUUCAAGCUCAAACUCUUCAAUUAUACCCCACCAUUUUUUUCUCAACGUCCUCCUCUAACCAUGAGUUGUAAACAUAUUCAUUGAAUAUUUUCAUAAAAGAUUCAUCUUUCUUUAUCACAUGGCUAAGCUUUUUGGGAAUCUUCCUAAGUAUGUGCCACAUACAAAAUUGUUGUCAUGAAUUCAUAAAGGCAAUAGAAAUGGCUACUUUCAUAGCCUUGUCUUGAUCAGUUAAUAUAGCAAUUGGAUGCUUUCCACCCAUAGUCCUCAGCCAUGUUUGCAUUAGCCAAACAAAUGUUAACGUAGUCUCAUCAGCAAGCAAUGCACAUCUAAGAAAUAGAGAUUAAAAAUGGUUAUUCACACUAAUAAAAGGAGCAAAUGGCAUUUUCUUUUUGUUUGUAAUAUAUGUAGUAUCAAAGGAAACAACAUCUCUAAAAAUCUUAUAAUCCUCUCUACUAGUUGCAUCCACCCAAAAAACUUCUUCAUCUAAGUCCACAGCUUAAAAGAAAUUAAUAUUCUUUCCCUGCAUUUGCAUAAAGUGGAUAAGCAUUGCUCUAGCAUCACCUAAUUCCAAUGCUAAUCGAUGUUCUUUAUCCAAAUGGUUUCUAAUAUCUUUCUUUGUGUACCCAACAUUUUUAUAUCCACCAUUUUUUUGGCCAUUACAGCAAAAAUCUUAUUUAUACCAAUACCAACUGCAUGUAACAUAUUAAUACUAUGUUUAUUGGAAAAUGCAAUACUUCUAUGACAUGAAAAAUAAUGUGCAUGUCUAGGAUAAAGUUCAUGGUUAUGUUCUUUUAUGAAAUUUUGAACGUACCACUUGCCACGAGAGUUUAUUUUGUCAUGCAACAAAGCCGUUGAUUGAUAGCACUAGAUUCUCAUUUUAUCUCAUAUCUACCUUGUACAUGUGAAUUUUGCAUCAAUAAUUUCCCUAGAAAACUUUGAUCAACGGCUAGAUUUCUUUGAGGUACCGAACCUUGUAUACUUAACAUACUUUAGAUAGAAAAAAUAUGCAUUAUCUUGUGUAUCAAACUCCAACCCAGUAUAAGGUUCUAAAUCCAUGUCAUCGUUACCAUCCACCAUGUUUUUAUUCACCAUAUUUCUAUCAAUCACAUUCAUGCACUCAUCGAAAUUUGUAUUUAAGUCAAUCCGUAAAUUCAUGACUACCUAAAGACACAAAAAGAAAAAUGUAAACAACAACAUUGUAUAAAUAAUCGAGCAUUAUAAAUGCAAAUAAUUGAUUUUCAUAUAAACUUACUAAUUAUUCAAACAUAAUUAUAAAGAAUUAGUUCUCUAAUAAAUAAAUACCAAUUACCUUAAUAAUCUUCAUAAUAUAAAUAGAAAAUAAAUACACAAAUUUUCUUUUAUUAUUAUACAUUAACAAUGACAAAUCAUCAUGACAUCUAAUCUAUAUAAAAAAGAUAAUAGUAUUUUUAAUUUUAGGAGCCAGCUACUUUGCAUCGGUGAUUCCAAAUCCCUCAAUUUUGUUUUUACCAAACCUACCGUUGGAUAUUAUCUCUAAUGGAUGGAAAAGAUACACACACAAGUCAAAGUAACCUGACAAACAAGUUAGGAGCCAGUACCAAGGAUUAGGAAUGACCAUUUGAUCGGUGCUUUUCUUGUAUAAUCUCAGGUUGGUACAAUUAUGUAAAAAGGGGUCGAUUCCUAUUUUCCUUCAUUGUUGAUUAAGGACAGCAUUCCACUUAUUGACGCUAUUCCCAAAUACAAUCCUAAUUUCUUUCAAACUAAAAUUUAUGUAACUGGGUGUGAAGGAACUUUAAAGUGACAUGAGAUUUUUAAGUAGGCAAAUUUAAGAAUAUAGUUAAUGCUAAUUGGGAGCAACAAACCGAAUUUUUCAGUUCAACCUGAACAAAAAGCUAAUUUUUUUAUGGAGUUUGUAGGAUUGGAGAAGAAAAAGUAUUGACACCGGUAAAGUCGGUAGCAUUUAAUCUCUUUUAUCUCACCUAUUCUAUUUGAGCCGUUGGAUUACUAGACUUUCAAUCCACCGGCAGUUUUUGUAAAAGACAAAAUAAAGGGGUUACUUAUCACCACAAUAAAGUAGCCGGACCCUUAAUUUUAAAUAUAUAAUAAAAAAUUAAUGUAAUUUAGGUGAUAUUAGAAAAUGUUGUUUUAUAAAGGAAAAGUUAAGUGAAUCUACCUGAAUCAAUUUUGCAAAACAACUCAUUUAUGGCAAUUGAGACUAUAUUUCCAUAUUAAAACUUUCACUGACAAAUGCUCUGCACUCACAUGGUGCUUUUGAGAGUGAGAACUAAGGAGUAGGUGAAAAUGUAAUGUGUCGAAGAAGCUUCACAAAAAUAGAAGAGCAAUUUAGUAUUUGAAUAAAGAAGUAAAUGGCAUUUGAGUGUAAAUAUGUUUAAAGUAACGAGUAAAAUAAUAUCCAAUACCUUAUUGAAAGAAUGAGACAGAAUUAUUACAUGUGGUACUAGUAAAAUAUAAAAUUGGACACUUAUCGAAUUUGAGAGAAGCAAGCGAGUCAGUCGCUCAUGUAGCACUCUUCGGUUUUAAAUAUCUUUUAAAAGAGGUGCUAAUAGUCCAACUAUAUCCGUUUUUCAUUAAGCUAACUUUGCAUAACAAAGUGAUAAGAUAAUGAGACAUAAAUAGGCCAUCAAGAAAAGUAGAUACAAGAGGCAACAAAUGAUAUUGCCAAAAGAAUGGCGAGGUUUCCAAAAUGCAGAGAAAUACGACGGAUAGUGAGCUGGAAUUUGAUGGUUGUGCAGAUAAAGAUCAGUAACAAUGGCAGGGCAAGAACCAGAAAGAAGAGUUGAAGCUUUAGAGGAUAUAAAAGGAGUCGAUUUGUGCCAUCUUGGACCGAUCUAGUGUUCCCAUUAUCAUAUUUUAAGAACCCAAAGAACACGAUCAAUAUGAUUUAGAAAUUGUAGCAAUUAAACCCUUGAUAAUCAAUUAAAACCUUGAUGUAACUGAUUGAUUGACCUACCUUUUUAUUUAUUUUGAAUUUAUUUAAAAAUUUUGUGAAUUUUUUUGUAACUCCGAAAAACUUGUUAUUUAUUAAAGACUAUUGAUGUUUUUAACACCCCUUUAAAAUCCCAUUUUAAAUUUUGUUUUUUUUGGUCUUAACAAUAAGGUAUCCUAAGGAGGGCCCCAACUGUAGAAGGCACCUUUAAGCCUGUACCACAAUCCAAAUUAGAAGUUCCCGCUCGAACCGGGAGACACAGGUUCUCCCAACAAAGGCGACUUCCCUGCGACUCGAACUGGAGAGCAAACCCAGUCAAACCACUUAAGAAGACUCCAUUGCUAGUGGAGCCAACACUUUGUUGGUCCAUUUUAAAUUUUAUUUCUUAACAAAAUCAGUCAAAGCGUCACUUUCCUUCGAAAAGGUACACACACAGAGAGAGAGAGAGAGAGAGAGAGAGAGAAUCCAGCCUACAACAAUUUCAUUUCUCAUUAAUGCUAACUUAGCUAAGGCCAUUCCAUCCACUUUAAAGUAACUUCAUGUGAAAACAGAUUGAAUUUCAAUUUUACUAGGAGAUCGUUUGUAUGAUGCACCAUAUGUAUCAUACCGUUCUCUGGAUAUACCUGUUUCAAGAUAACUAUGCUUCAGACUUCAGAGAACAAUAAUAUACAACAAGACCAAACAUAAAAAAGCCAAUUAAAUUACUGCAAAUAAAAGUCUGCAAAUACAAUAAGACCAAUAUAUAUAUAUAUGUGUGUGUGUGUGUAAAUAAAUAAAUAAAUAUAUUUUGCACCGAAACACGGUCUUAGAAAGAGUGAUUUUGGUUUUUGAUUCAACAAGAGUGAGAGUGAUACAAACCGAUUAUUUUUAUUGAAACAUAAAAUAAAAUGAAAAGGACAAACAAUAUAGAAGAGUAAAAAUAGAUUAGUUUGAGGAAAUUUAAGCCUUCAAAAUAAGUAUAGAGCAUUAGAGAAACCAAUAAACUUCUAUAUACAACUUAAGUUGUAGUAAAAAACUAUAAAUCUAUAAUCAUCCCAUGCUUUAUCUUAAUCCAAUUAUUCCUGAAAAUAAGAGACUUCAUAGCUUCUUCAUUUCGAAUUUCCUAUAGACAAGUACAACUUUUACUUUCUUUUGGCAUUUCUCAAAUAUUAGCUCUCUAUAAACUUGAGAAGUGUUUAUAUGGGUUGAGAAAAGCUCCUUGUUGUUUCCAUAAAGGUAAAUAUAUCUUGAAUUCUUAACCUUUUGGAGGAAUUUAUAUCUUUAGGUUUACGAAGAGAAAAUGCCAACAAUCUUCAGCUAACCCACUUGAACACACCCUUCUUUCCUCUAUUGACAACUAAGAUUACUGCGGGGAUCUCAUAAUCGGGCUUUGGUUCUCGAAUGAGUUUGAUAAACCUUCGUCUCUAGAGCUGGACCCAAUUGAGGUUUUUAGAUUUAUAGAAACCCAUGGCCUACUUCAACCCAAGAACUAAUUCAAAAAUAGAAGAUUCCUCAAGUUUAUAUUGUUAGCCUAGUUACCAUUAUCCUUGAGAUAAUAUCCUCAACAAUAUUCCCAUUUUACGGCGCAGUUCGGAGAUGAUACAUGUAAUGGUAGGCAAUCUGGGGGGCUGAAUCCAAUUUGGUAAUCGCCACCUUUCGGCUGCUUUAAAAUGAAUAUUAUUGAUGCUGCAAUGGAUCAGACGGCUGGGAUAGCAGGACUUGAUAGGAGACAGCAAGAUUCUGGGCCUAGUCCUUUCUUGGGCUUCUCUCCCUUUUUAAACUUGUAGUUUCAUUUUCGUAAUGGACCUUUUGCUCUUCUUAAUUAGGCCUGGGCAUGCUGUAAGUGUUUUCUUGUCGGAGUUAAAGCGAGUGAUGACAAACUUUACGCAACGUGGCUCCUGCGUUUCUACUGUGCAAGUCAUUUUUAUUAAUCAAUUGUCUACCAUACUAUUUACUUUGAAAUAAAUUGAUAUUUCAUUCAUCAUAGAGAACUUUGAGUACCAUCGUACAUCCACUACAAACACACAUAAAAAUCGAUUAACAGAUUAUUUAUUGCAAGUAGACAAUAGAUUAAGUUAUUGUAUUUUCAAGUUAUGAGAGGAAAAACGAUUAUUUAUAAAAUGCAAUGUAUAUUCAUUCUUCCCUUAAUCCACAGGUAAUUAAAGUUUUAAUAAAUAGAUGUAUACAGGUAAUUGCCUAAGGUCUACCAAGCUUCUCAGUUAAUCUACUCAAAAGAAACUUCUCAACAGUCACGUUUUGAUAAAUUGGGAUAUUUUUAACGCCUUUAAUCUUUGAAAGCUCACUCUUAGAAUUGGUUGCCGAGUUUCCGACUAUUAAUUCAACUGUAGUCAUUACUACACGCACACAUAUUUAUGCUUAUGAUACAGUCAGAUUGAAUCUGUUAUAGGCUAAUUAAUUACAAUAUGUUUCUUUUACAAGCUAUAUGAUUGGACCUUAAUUAAUGAUCGAAGAAGAAAUUAUAAGAUUAAGUACUUCUCCUAGAGCUAAUAUUAAUGUAACAAAACAACUUCAGAUAUUUCCCAAUAAGCCACUAGAUCAGGAUCAAAUCCACCAGUCAAUAUUCCACGAGAUUUUUCCAUUUCAUGAAUUAAUAGGUCUGCCAUCACUAGAUUGAGUACGGAAAUUAAAAAAAAAAAAAGAGUAGAAAUGAAAAAUAAAGGAAAUAUCAAUCAUACCUUUUCUUCAGGAGAAAUCAGAUGGAGGGUGGCGCUGGUUUUUUUAUCUAAAGAUGACUCCAUGGAUAAUCCCUUGAAGCCCCAACGCUCUAUUUUUUUUUUGGUUGUUUAAGAAUUAUUUUCGACAAAGUACUUGAACUCGGGGAGAGAUAGGCCUGGAGACAUAUAUAGAUAAGGCAGCGUCUUACGGUCCUAAUGCUGCAACGUGGUCCAAUUCCUUCUCAACGGAGAAAACGUUCUGUCAUCGUCAAGAAUUUUGGACAGAAACAUGUUACUGUCACAUGCAUGUGGGCUCCGUUUUGAAACCUUUUUUCUCAUCUCUUUUCAGGGUCCAGCUACUAUACCCAUGAGGUUUGGUACCCUAUUCUUUUGUCUUUUUCGAAUCCACCGUUGGAUUUAACUUGAGAGUUGUAUAAUGGUCAGAUGUAAUUAUUGGGUCAUUAACAUUAAAAACCCUUGUUGUUCAUGUAAAAUAAGAAAAAUCAAAAGUUUUAUAAUUAUGACAUAUAAGUCCACAAUAUUUAUUUUUUUACUCUAUUGAACUAGGUUUUCAAUUAAAUAACUUAUUCUUAUAUUUAUUAAUAUCUAUUUAAAUUAAUAAAUUUACUUAUUAAUUUAUUAAUUAAUUAAUAUAUUAACUAAUUUAUUACAUAGUUAAACUAUGUAAAUUAUUUGCUAACCAUAAUUGAUGAUAAAUAUAAAUAUGAUUUUUUUUUAAUUUAACACGGCAACCAAUUUCCUUUCACCCAUGUGAGCAGGGUUCAAACCCCAUAUCUUUUUCUUCUUUUUUUCUCGAACAAGAAAUUUUAUAUGUAAAGUAGAUGGAAUACACAAAAUACGAAAAUAAAUUUAAUUUUAUAUUCUAUGUAGGUAAUGUUUUGUUAUUUUUUUAUAACAUAAUAUUUAAUUAACAUACUAAAUUAUUUAAUUAUGUAGUAAAAAUAUUUUAAUUUACUAAUAAUAAUAAAGUGUUGUUUAUGAAUUUGUAAAAUCAUUUUUGUUUGUUUGAGCAAUGAGUUUUUUAUUUUUGAUUGAAUUUUUGUCCUAAAAUAAAAGGAGUAAAUUUAAUUGUAUACUUAAAUAAAUUUAAUUGAGUUUUUGUCCUGAAAAUCGUGGCUUCCAUAAGCAUUAAUGCAAUUAAAAAUUUGUGGGUGUUGGACUAAUAUGUGAAAAUUUAAAACUUUUUAGCUUGUUUGUUUUUAGAAUAAAUUACAGGACUCUAUUAUAAUUGACCUUAAGAAAAAGACAAAAAGGGAUACCAAACCCCUGUUGCAAAGUAGUUUUGCCCCACUUUUCAUUGGGUGAUUUUGUUUGUUUGGAACCUUUGAACAUCAGCCAGUGUAUGCUAUUUAUUUAUUUUUUAAAUUUUAAAUUUAUAAAUGUAAAAUCUUAAUUUAUAAAGUUGAAUUGGUAUUUAUGUAUAUAAAACCGUCAGUCCGACUGCCGAUAAAUAAAAUGGGUCUGCAUUUGGCUACAAGCCAAUUCUCAAUACUUAUAUAAAAUUUUAAUGGCUAUUACUGAGUCGAGGGUAGGGUACUGGAUUAAAAAUGAAAAACAGAAUAAAUUUGCCAGAAAAUUUUAUUAAUAUUCCGUUCUCCGCAUCAUAGCUAAUUAAACAACCGCUUCUUUCUUAGAAAUAUUACGAUAAAAAGACUAAAUUAAAAUAAGCCAAUAUAGAAAUAAGUACAAGAAACGGUACCUUUCGGGUCUUUUCUUUAAUAAAGACGAAAAUAGCAACUAAACUAAAAGUUAACUGCCAUUUCGUGAUUUCCACUUAUAUUGACAAUAAAAAACCGAACACUUUCCACCAAUAAAGUAUUGGUUCCACUGGCAAUGGAGUCCCCUUAAGUGGCUUGAUUGAGUUUGCUUCCCAGUUCGAGUCGCAGGGAAGUCGUCUUUGUUGGGAGAAUCUGUGCCUCACGGUUCGAGCGGGGACUUCUAAUUUAAGUUGUGGUACGGGCUUAAAGAUGUCUCCCACAGUUGGGGCCCUCCCCAAAAUACCUCGUGGUCAAAAAAAAAAAAAAAAAAAAAACCGAACACUUUCCCAACAAAAAAAGGACAUAGAUGCCACUUUAUAAAUAUAAAUAAUGUAAUUACAAUUAUUAAGUUUACUAUUAUAAAUGAUACAUAUUUAUUAAAUCAAAAUGUAAAUAUAAAUAUAAAAAGAAUAAUUAAUGUAAAAUAAGUUUCUUUAAAACAUCACAAGAAGAAGCAACUAUUGUUUGUUAUUUUAAUUUAACAAAGAAAUCGUAAUGAAUUACCAGAUUAAAAGUUUUAUUGAAGAAGAAAAGUAAUUAAUAUAUAUAUAUAUAUAUAUAUAUAUAUAUAUAUAUAUAUAUAUAUUUAAACUUGAGUACUGCGAGAUGAUGAAGACAAAAUGAAAAGCAUUAACAGAGAGAGACACACAAAUCAUAUCUCAUAAAUAUUAUUUAAAAAAAAAAACACUCAUUGUCCACUUCAUCUAUACGGAGUCGUAUACAUAACUAAAACAACAGAUCUGAAUUUUAUCUUUAAAAAAAAAUUAAAAGAGAAAUAUAUAUUAUUACUGUGGCAACUGUAGCUAGCCCUAGGUAGUAGUAGUUGCAUGGAACUUCGAGUCACCACAAUUGCACCAGAUCCCCUGGCUGCAGGUUUUGGAUGCCCUCGUGAGGUUCGGCAGAAGCUAUUACCGCAGCGUGUCCGUUGCAGCAGCGCUUAAACAGAGAAGUUAGCAUUACAUAAAAGAGUGAUAGGAUUAUGAGACACAAAUAAACCACUAAGAAAAGAGAUGGAGCCAAAAUGAGAGAAGCGAUUGUGGAUAUUGCCAACAGACAAGGGAGAUGAUCUCCACAACUCAUGGACAUGGGGCUUCUCACACUGACAGGAAGUCUGAUGGCUGUGAAGAGAAAGACCAGUAAUAUCAGGAAGGGGAAUUGAAGCUUUAAAAUUGGGUACAAAAGUAUCUGAUUGGUUCCAUCUUGGAGGUACCAAGACUGACCAUCUUGAGAUUUCAGGAAGAAAAAGAAGAUUACAAGAUUUAGCAAUGGUGGAAACAAAAAUCUCACAUACAACAGGGCAGUUCAUUUCUGGAAAUGGAAUGUCAAAAAGAAAAUUUCAUACAUUCGCAAUGGAAGAAGAUUUGAGUGCUCAGCCAACCGUAUGAGAGGGCUGCUAGCUCUUGGGGGAUUUAUAGGAUGGCAACAUUAAUUCCUUACGGACUCAUUUUCAUAAAACAAAGGAGAGAGAGAAAGAGAAGAAAACCCUUGCCCUAGCCUCGUAUCAAAAGACAAAAGCGAGCCUCAGCCUCGUGCACAUCUAAUACACACGCGCACUGCAGGCAAAUACGCUUAUGGUCCAGUCAGAUCGAAUCUGUUAUAGACUAAUUAAUUACUCUAUGUUUCUUUUACUAGCUAUAUCAUUGGAUCUUAAUUAAUGACCGAAGAAGAAAUUAUAAAAUACUUCUCCUAAAGCUAAUAUUAAUCGAUCAAAACAACUUCAGAUAUUUCCCAAUAAGCCACUAGAUCAGGAUCAACUCCACAAAUCAAUAUUCCACAAGAUUUUUCCAUUUCACGAAUUAAGAGGUCUGCCAUUACUAGAUUAAAAGGUAAUAAAAUUAAUUACUUAACAUACAUUCUAAAUCAUCCUUAAAUUUUAUAUGUACGGUUCCAGCUGUAGGCGAAACUUUGGAUAGGUAUAAAAAAAAAAAAUUACAAAAAAGGAGUAAAAAUGAAAAAGAAAGAAAAUAUCGAUCUUCGAUCAAACCUCUUCUUCAGGAAUCAGGAGAAAUCAAACGGAGGGGCGGAGCUGGUUUUUUAUCUACAGAUGACUCCAUGGAUAAUCCCUUGAAGCCUCCAAUGCUCUAUACGAUUUUUUUUUUUUUUUUUUGUUGCUGUGUAAGAAUUUUUUUCCAGAAAGAACUUGAACUCGGGAAGAAGAAGACCAGGAGACAUGUAUAGGUAAGGGAGCGACUUACAGUUCGUAAUGCUGCAACGUGGUCCAAUUCCUUGUCAACGAAGAAAAACGUACGACUCUUGUCAUCUUCAAGAAUUAUUGGACGGAAACAUGUUAAAUGUCACGUGCAUGGGACCCGCUUUGAUAGCUUUUUCUCAUCUCUUUUCAUUGUGUUUGUUUGCGAAUCUUUGAACAUCAGGUAGGUGGCGUAUGUUAUUUAUUUUUUAUUUUAAAUUUAUAAAUGCAAAAUCUUAAUUUAUAAAGCUGAAUUGGUAUAUAUAUAUAGAAAACGGUCAGUAUAAAAUUUUAAAAAAAAAAAACAGAAUAAAUUUGACACAAAAUUAAGAUUAAUAUACCGUUCUCCGUAUCAUAAAUAACUAAACAACCGCUUCUUUCCUGGAAAAUCAUAAAUAUUACGAUAAAAAAAAAAAGAGAGCCAAUAUGGAAAUAAGUACAAGAAGCAGAAAAAUGCUUUUCAGCUCUUUUCUUUAAUAUAGACGAAACAGUUUCCAUUCCAAACGAAAAAAAUGUAAAAAAAAAAAAAAAGAUUUGCAUUCCACUCUGUAAAUAAAAUAAAUGUAAUUACACCCUCAUAAUAGAUACAUAUACAUUAAAACAAAAUGUAAAUAUAAAUAUAAAAAGAACAAUUAAGAUAAAAUAAGUUUCUUUAAAACAUCACAAUGAGAAUUGAGAAGCAACUAUUGUUUGUUGUGUUAAUUUAUCUGUGAGCCGCACGUAUUCAUUUAACAAAGAAAUCGUAAUGAAUUACCAGAACUAAAGCUUAACUGAAGAAGAAAAGUAAUUUAUAUAUAAUAUUCUUUUCAACUUUAGUACUGCGUGUUGAUGGAGAGACAAAGUGAAAAUUGUUAACAGAGAGAGACACACGAAUCUCAUAAAUAUUAUUAUUAAAAAAAAGCAUUCGUUGUCUGCGUCGUCUAUACGGAAUCGUAUGCAUAACUAACACAACUGAUCUGAUUUUUAUCUUUUUCUUAAAAAAAAAAAAAAUUAAAACAGAAGCAUAUAUUAUUACUGUGGCACCUGUAGCCAGCUAUAGGUAGUAGUAGUUGCAUGGAAGCUGAAGUCACCACAAUUACACCAUAUCCCCAGAUGGACUUGGCAGCAGGUCUUGGAUGCGCCCACCUUCUACUUUAACUUCAACUUCAGCUUCAGCUUCAGCUUCAUGUCCAACUUCAACUUGACCAUCAGAUUCAGGAACAACAGUGUAUCCUUUGCAGAAGCGCUUAAACAAGGAAGUUGACAUUACAUAAAAGAGUGAUAGGAUCAUGAAACACAGAUAAACCACCAAGAAAAGAGAUGGAGCCAAAAUGAGAGACGCGAUUGUUGAUAUUGCCAACAGACAAGGGAGAUGAUCUCCACAACUCACGGACAUGGGGCUGCUCACUCUGAGAGGAACCCUGAUAGCUGUGAGGAGAAAGAGCAGUAAUAUCAGGACGGCAAGACUCAUGAAGGGGAAUUGAAGCUUUAAAAUUGGGUACAAAAGUAUGUGGUUGGCUCCAUCCUGGAGGGACCAAGACUGACUAUCUUGAGAUCUCAGGAAGAAAAAGAAGACUACAAGAUUUAGCAAUGGUGGAAACAAGAAUCUCACAUCAACAGGACAAUUCAUUUCUGGAAACUGAAUAUCAAAAGAAAACUUCAUACUUUUGCAAUGGAAGAAGAUUUGAGCUCUCAGCUAACCAUAAGAGAGGGCUGCUAGUUGAGCUCUUAGGGGAUUUAUGGGAUGGCAACAUUCCUCACGGCCACAUUUUCAUAAAACCAAGGAGAGAGUAAAAGCAAGAAAAAGACAAAAGAGAACCUACACUUGUACUGUGGCAGCCUGACAGAUAUCUAAAGACAAAAGAUGAUAAAAUCUCUGAUUUGGCCCUCUAUUUUGUCAGACCUGGACUAAGACAUAUUCACACCCACAAACACAAGGAUUCCUCUAAAUUACAUUUAUCGCAACAUACAAUCAGUGAAAUCAUUAGUUGACCAAUAAACUCAUGCUAAGUGAACAUAACAGUGAUAAAUUAAAACUUAUUCAAGUGGUUGAAGCCGGUCACCAAAAAUAAUCAACGCAAAAGGCUCCCUUCCACAGCCGGUCGUGACAAAUAUAACGGCGUCGUUUUAACCAUCAAAUUACCACAACAGUUCCAUCUCUUCCACACAAUCCUCCUCAAAAUUCAGUCCUCCACCACCAAAUUCCAGCCAAAAUCAACGACACCAGUAAGGGGAUUGAUAAGGGUAUUCAUGUAUGAAUACCCUUAGCAAGCCCCUGGUUAGCUAAAGCAGACAUUAGUAUCCUAGCAGCUACAGCAGCAGAGAAAAGUCUCUGUUCACGUAUUCGCCUUAGGUUUAGGCAGUUAGAUGUCAUCGAAUUUGAAUUCCCAUUCAAUGAAGGUUUGACGCAGCAGGCUUGAUUAGGUUGUAUAGCUGGAUCUGGUUGAUUAGGGACGUCCCGGAGGAGAUUUGCAUCGAGCGAAAGAGAAACAACGGUGAGUAUACUCACAAGACGACAAACGUCACUCACUCUUGUGUCGGCAAUUUCACCAGCCCGCAAGCACUUAAUCUCAUCAUUGCGUAACGCCUAUUCCUCCUCUUCUUAUUCUUCUUAUUAUCUGUUUAUUUUAGUAUUUAUUUGAUUAAAUUAAUUCGCUUUGUCAUAAACAAGGAAGAAAACAAUUAUUUAGAGAGAGAGAGAGACUUGUCAAAAUGGGCAGAGAAACUCCAGUUAAAAGCAGGAGAGCAAGCACGCCACUGGCGGCUACGCGUCCGCAAAAGCCGCUAUUUUUGCGUGGUCCCCGACGUCGAUAAACUUAUCUUUAUUAUUUUGACAAGGAUCGAAAAUUCAAAAUUAAGAAAAUAAUAUUGUCAUUUGACUGAAUUCUUAGAUAUGAAUUUUCUUUAGAAUCUUAGAUCAUUAUUUUCUUUUUGGUUCGCUCAAAAUCUGCUGUAAUUUAAAAUCUUAGAUCAUUAUUCUUUUACUUUCAUGCAAUAUUAAUUCGUUAAAAAUUUUAGGCUGCAGUAUCUCAGCAUGGUGAAUGCAAGAUGAGACUCUAGAACUUUAGAUCAAAUAUUAAAUUAAUUGUGCUAUAUAUAUAAUCUCGUAUCACUUGUGUAUUUAUAAUAAUAUAAUUAUGAUUCAGAUUUAAUACAUAUUAUUUCUUAUUUAAUAUAUAACUAAUAAGCCCAAUAUUUCCCAAAAUAAAUUAAACUCAACUUGCUUUUUGAUAAUUUUAUUAGUAAAAAUUAUUGUUAUAUGUCAUAUCUUAUAUAUAUAUAUAUAUAAUGAGAUAACAUAUAACAAUAAGUGGAUAUCCUUGUUCCGCUAUUGAUUAGUGGUUCAUUUGGUCGGACGGCCCUAAGCCAUUUUCUUAAGCAAUAACGGAAAAAUGCAACAAUAUCAAUGAGAUAAGGCUUUCAAUUGGUGAUGGCAUAAAUUCAAAACAAAAACACAAGAACGUAUGAUAUCGGUGUCAUCAAAUUAAACUAUAAGCACUAUCGGUGCCAAAAUUUAUAGCUACGCUGCUACUUUUAACCAGUGUAAAUUCAGGCGAUCCUAUCAUACAAAUUAAAAAUGAAAAUUACGGAAGAAUGAAUUCAGAACAAGCUGAAUCCCUCACAAAACGUCCAUGCAUUCACCGGUUAACCAUGACAACCUUUUUCGUUUUGACGCAAAAAAAUAAUAGAGAGAAAGAGACAAGGAGAAAAAUUGAAAGAUGAAAGCGUUUUUCUCUCUCUUUUUGACACUUCAGCUGCUGGGCAUUUCGUCUGCUUUUUUGCCGGAAGCUUGUUAACCUGUGCCAUGGAAUGCCUGUCCCCCAUUGGAGAACUGAAAUCCACAUUAAAAAGGAAAAAAAAAAAGUACAAUCGAAUGUCACAUUUAGCAAAAGAUGAUGUCACAUUAGACUUGUGCCUAUUACGUGUAUAUAUAUAUAUAUAUAUGUAGAUAAUAGAUUGCAACACCUGUUGUUAUAGUGUCUCUCGUCUCACUAGAUUUGUAUCGACCAAGUCUCUGUACAUCGAUCGGAAGUUCGAAAAUUCAAUAUUCACAAUCCACUGAAGGAAACUUCCUGAGGAAGGUAUCAACUUGCAGACAAGCAUCCAAAAGGAUGGCAAAAAUGAACAUUAAUUACUUGUCCCACAUGCCAAGUAUAUAUAUAAGAUUUAAUUGGCAUCCUGAGAUUUCGAGUUCAUAAUGAAGAUUAAAAGAUUUAAUAUUGGCGGAAAUAAAAAUCUCAAAUAAAAAAAAUUCAAGAUGACUGUGAUUAAGUUUAGGGUCUUCAGAUUGGGAAGCCUAUAUGGCUUUUAUAUAGAGCCCCUUCUCAGCAUCAUAUGGAACCGCCUAUAAAACAAACUACCAUACGCCCAAAAAGAAGAAGAAGAAGAAGAAGAAAGAAAGGGGAAAAAAAAAGUAACGCCAUUAUAACUUUCGAACUUUGUUUUUCUAAAAAAAAGGAAACAAGGUUAUGCACUAUUUGGAUCUUGUUACAUGUGGCAGUGUUUACAAUUAAUGGCCAAGAUUUGUCCCUCCUAUGUCGUUGUUGACCUUUGAUUGAGUAUUAACCAAUGAGGUUUCCCACAUGAUGAAGGAGAUAAAAGAGAUGCAUUGUCAAUAAAUUAACGCUUGCAAAACAGAAAGUAGCCUGUAACAUCCAAUCAUGCACACACAAUCUAUGCUAAUACUGAACAGAAAAAUGAAACUUUGAUUUGAAGUGAGAGUCUUCGAAGGCAACAGCUUCUUUUCUUUUAAAUUGUAUAAUUAUAUACCCUGUAAAUAAGACAGCUUAUUUUUAUUGUAAAGGUGAUGUGAUUUUAACCCACUAAACUAAUCAUUAAAUUUAUUCACUAAAUAAACUUAUCCUAAUAUUUUGAAAUCUUAAAUUUUACUCGAUAAAUUCACCUAAAUAACUAAUGUACCUUUAUGAAACCCAGUUUGUACAAAAAUAAUAUUUUUACUCAUUAAAUUCAUUUAUAAACCCUUAAUGAAUGUUUCAUUAAAUUUCUUCCGUAAUCAUUCUUAAUCAAGAAGAUAUAUCUAGCGACACAUCAACCAUCAAACACAGACUCAUGUUGGCAAUACCAUGGUCAAGUAAGAAAAUGACCUAAUUUACUUCAAAAUCAAAAUAUCACCGCUCAAGUAAGCCAAAUGAUUGACGUCAAAGAAAAGAACCACCCACCCAACAAAGGAAAAAAUAUGGUCUUUCACUUUCAGCUUACUUCACAAAAACAAAAGAAUAGAAAAGAAUAGAAGGUAAAAGGCGCUUAGAUAACAUUAAAGGAGAUAUUCUGUAAUGUAUGGUAUAAGUGGUUUAGAAGAAUAUCCACUCCCAUGCAGUACCUGAUGAUUUUUUUAAAUUCUUUCCUUCUCAUAAAACAUGCGACUAUAUAUAUGUAUAUGAAACUUAUUAAGGAUUUAAUUAGUAGAAAAUCUUGGGGAAAAUACUUCAAAAACCAUCAAUUGUGUAUUAAAGAAACAACCAUGUUUAAUCUUCUGCAAGCAUAGCUCAUAUAACUUUUAAGGAACACAGUUUCCUUGCAAAAAUAUGAAUGAAUGUACAAAAACCCGAAAUGGAAACAAUCAGUGCAGUUACUGAUGUUAAAAGAUGCAUUCAGGGUGCGCAGCGGCCCCAAACGCACAAUCAAUCAAUUUCCCUGACUUCCAACCUUCAAUUUAAUGCAACCACAGUCAUGACCCUCCUAUCCUUAAAAUAGGAUAAGAUUUUCCAUUUAUUGUAUAUUUAAUUGCAGUGCUAGACUUUGUUACAGAGAUUGUCUGCAAAAGUAAAACAGCUCAUUCCUGUUAAUUUCCCUGGAUGAUCAGUUUCACUGGUAAAAUAACUCUUAGCAUAGCCGCUGGGACUUCAUUCAAAAGAAAACACAUAAUGGUGAAGUUAGACCAAGAAAAAUAAGCUAUUGGAAUUGAGUAAUACCAUAAGAACCACAUUGCUUUCCAAAACAAUGACUAGAGGCAUCAGGCAUGAUCAAAAUAACCAAAAGUGAACAUUGUCCCACAGACCAGAAACUUAGUCUUCCCUCUUAUCUUCAAAAAUGCAAUCUUGCCAAAUAACCCAAAAAAGACCUAGAUCAUCACACUGCCAGAUAACCUCGGGUUUCUAUCCUUGCCAAGAAAAGCAAAAAACAUUUUCCAUUAGCGAAGAGCUACAAGAACUUGGAGCAUCCCAAAAUCAAUAACAUAAUUGAGAAUCAAUGCAUGUAUCCGCAAACAUUUGUUUGAUAGACAACUGAUUCCCAAACCAAUUUUAAAUUUCUGACAGACUUACUUCAUUGCCUAAAUUCCUACCAAGAUUUUCAGUUAAUCUGCUCAAAAUACAAUCCAAGGGUGCAUUUAAACAAAUUGGGUUAUUUAAUGCCUAUACCUCAUCGAAUUGCUACCAAAGGUAAUCCCCACCAAACAAUCAACACAUGAAAUACAGGACCUUAACCUUUAGACAGAGAAAAUACGGCUGAAGAAGAAACUAAAAACCCAUAGAACCACUAAAUACUUCUCCUAAUACUAAUAAAGGAACAAAACAACAUCAUAAUACACUCAAUAUACCAUCAAAUGAAUAAAUCCAUACCAAUGACGAGCAAAAUAUGAAAAUUUUCAAGAAUUAACAAUUCUGCGAACAGAAAAUGAUAGUAAUUAUCUGCAUUUUAAAUAAUCCUAAAAUCAGAACAAAGACUUAUUUAUGUCAUAAAAAGAACCUACAAACACUUAGGCCCUGUUCAGUAUUGUUUUCCAAAUGUUGUUUUUGUGAAACAAAAUUGAGAAUGAAAAUACUAGUUUUAAAAUUUAAAAAUGUGAUCAGUAUCAUUUUCAAAAAUAAUCUUGAAAAUGGAAAAAUUAAAAUACGUUCAAUAGGAAUAUUUUAAAGAAUUAUUAUUGGAAUAAUGUCCAUAAACAUAAAAUUAAGUAAUGAAUAAUUAUUUUUAUUAUUUAAUUAGUUUGAUUAUGUUAAUUUUAAGAAUAAAUUAGGUGAUCUUAUUAAUUUUUUUGUUUAAAGAAAAAUGAUAAACUCUACGUAUUUGAUUUAAUUAAUAUAUAAAAACAUAAAUAUUAUAAUGUAUAUAAAAAGAAAAAAUAAUUGUGAGGGAAAUUGAUUUUUGGGUAUAAUAAUAAUAAUAAUACUGUUGAUAUUAUUAUUAUUAUUAUUUUGUGAGAUGGUAGAAGAAAAUUGUUCAUUUUGAAACUUAACAAUAUAUUAGAAAACAAGGAAAAUAAGAAAAAGUUGUUUUCUUAUUUCUUUUGUUAAAAGUGUAGAAUGAAUUUUACAUUUUCAAAAAAAUUUUCAAAAAGGAUCUAUCAAACACAUAUUUAAUAUUUUUUGAAUUAAGAAAACAAAAAACGAGAUUUGGAAACAAUACCGAACGCACCCUUAUUUUUCUUAUUUUUUUAUUUCCAAGCAAAAUCAACAUUCUUCUAUUCUUUCUUCAACAAGAAAACAGGUUAUGUUACAAUAGUCAAUAGGCAGUAGGCAAAACACUUGAUAACUGAAUAUAUAAAAAGAAAUAAAAAGGAGUUAAAAAAAUCAAAAAAAUUGAAAAUUGAAAAUACAAAAAGAUUAAAAAAGAAACUAUAUUUAGAAAAUGAAAAUAUCAACCCCCUUCUGUAGAACAAUUCAAACAGGGAGUUGCUGGUUCUUAAUCAAACAGUAAGUAAUAUUCCACUGAAACCCCAACCCUCUAUUUGAAUUUUUUUUCAUAAGAAUUAUUUUCAAAAUAGAACUUGAACUCUGGAAGACAUAAAAGGAAAAGACAUAGAUGACUGACUGAGUCUGACUGAGAGCGAGUCGCCAGGAUACCGCACCGGUCAGCUUCCAAUUGAACUUGCCAGUUUGGGUUCGAGUCCCAGUCCAACAGGUAGUGAAAGCAGGUAAUUAUCAUAACCAGAUGAAGUAUCAAAACCUGUUUGUAUAAGCCUGCACAUAACAAGUUAAUCAUCAACAAAAGAGGGGGCUGCAGCGAGAAUCAACACAUCAUGUACUAAUUAUAAAACACGUAAAAUUAACGUAUCUUACCAGUCACAAAACCCUUUUUCUUUAGAGAUAAUCUCCCAUUGCAAAUAUAAAAAUGAAAAAGAAAAAAAAAUGACCAUAAAAGUAGAAAAGUCCCCUCUUUUUCUCCAAACAAAUACAACCAUUUCAGUUCACACCUAAGCUCAGAACCAUUCAAGUUUCAACCAAUCAAACAACCAUAGUAUUCUUAUUAAAAAAAAAUGAAAUAACCAUAGAAUAAAAAAAUUAUAAUCCAAUCCAAAUAUUGUUUCAGAAUUUAUGAUUUAUGGUAGACUCAAUUGGUCAAACCUAUGGAAUUGGAAUGAUGCAUUUAUUUAACCCAAAAGGUGAAUAUCAAGCUUAAGGUUCGUACAUAUUGAAAUGAUCAAAUUUCUUUCAUGUGAACAUGAGAUGCAACUUGAACUAUUUCAAGUUAUUCCUAGAGAAAGCAUUAAAAAGAAAUUUGUUCAUCCUACGUGGUAUAAGUAGUAUACUUCAGCUAAUAUUAUGCAUCAUCGGUUAAAUCAUUUGGAUUAUUAACAUUGAUAAUUUUUUAUUAGCUGAAUUGAUAACUGUCGCACCCCUAACUUAAGGACACGUGUGAUAAGAAAAUUUUAUCCACAUCAGGUGCAAGUAUAAGCUUUUAACAAUUAAGCUGUGACUGUUUGCUUACAAGAACAAACAUGUACUAAUAGAGAUGAAUAAAACCCAGCACUUCCAAGAAACUUUGACAUUAUCUCCCCUAAAAUAUGGAUAUUAUGCAAAUACAUCAAACCAGCAAUUUUUAUACCCAGCUGCUUAAAACUUCAAAAGUAAAAAAAUUAAAAUAAAAUAAAACACAACCUUCUCAAGUUAACUCUACUACGGUAUCGGUCAAUACAAUACAGGGGCCUCUGGGACCCUAUUACUACAACAAUAACACAUAUUAGUGCAUCAUACUAAUGUCGCUUAGUCAUUCUAAAUACAUGUAUUAAAAAGCAUAAUAUCUACAAUAAGGUAGCUUACGAUGUCUACUAGGCCAGUAAUGCCAAAGUACAACCAGAACAAAAAUAACAAAGACUGUUCUUCAUUACGAAACACAACUUUCAAAAGAGGUAAUCUCCAUGUUAAGCCCCAAAUCAAAAUCAAUGCUCCACCGACCACAAUUUUUUCACCACCACUGCCAAAACCUGAAAAGUAAGGGGUGAGCUAAUGCCCAGUAGGAAGCCACACACUACAAAGGAUCCUUUUUUUUUUUUUCUUACGCCAAAAUAAUUCACAUAACUUGGGUACAUUUCUAACAUAAACCAUUUAUAUAUAUAUGAAAAAAUAUUUAUUUCUUAAAACUUUUUGAGUUGGAAGUUGGUAUUCAACAGAAAUGAAAAAAGACAAGUUUAUAACAACAUACACACAUACAAACAUAGUGCUGCUCAUACUCCCUGUAGUUUUUUUUUUUGGGAAAAAUACUCCCUGUAGUUAAGAGUAAAGAAAUCCUAAAAUUACUCAUUCAAAAAUACAGAAUAAAAACACGCCUGACAAGUCGGUAAGCUGUAAAUCCUCGGCAAACAUUUUCAACCAAUAAUAAAUUUAAAAAGAAAUACCUUACAUACUUUUGGGCAUUAUUCCCAGGGGCCACCGCCCAUGAUUUCUUUUGCGGACUUUCACCGGGGGUAGAAAUCUGACCAAGGUCAUUCCAGCAUACCGUACUUUUGGGGUGUUAUUCCCAGAGGCCAUCGCCCAUAAUUUCUUUUUGGGCUUCACUGCAGGACAGGAAUCUGACCAUCACCAAUUAACCUUCUGAAACCUCAACUUAAAUAAAAGGAAUAAAAAUUAUUAACUCAUUCAAUAGCAUCAAUGUAAGUUUCCUUACAAUAACACACCACACCAUGAUACUUCUCAAUAACAAUAGCCAUGGAUAACAGAACCCCAGUACAUCCCCAGUUUAACAACACAUCCACAAACUUGAACUGCAAUCAAAGCACCACAGGACACAUAAACACAAUUCAGCUAAACUUCCUAUUCCAAGCUUGGCUCAUAUCACAGUUAAAGUUUAAUUCUCAUUCAUGAUUGCAUCAACCCAAAUUAACUAUCAUAACUGAUUCAAGUAAUUUGACUACAUGGUCUUCAAUUAAAAAUCGCAAUCCUGUUGACAAUUCUAACAUGUCAAUUUUUAUUUUAGCCAUAUGGUCACGUAAUUAAAUGGCUAACCACACACCCACUGCAUUAAUUAUUAAAGGAAGCAAUUAAGCCGUUAACACAUUAAAUCUAAGCAAAACAACUUUUAAGGACUAAAAAAAAAUUCAGAUUAUUGAGCAAGAAAAACAACUUGAUUUUUCGGUUUUGAGAAACAAAAUCACUCAAUUGCAUAUAACCACCUACCUCAAUCCUCCACCAACAGCUCGUAGUUCUCCAAAGACUUCUCAUCUCAUCUAACUCCACUUCCUAUUGAUAAUACAGCGACAAAAAUUAACCAACUAUAAUGCCAAUAAUUUAAGAAUCCCAAAUUUAACACAAUCCUAAACUUGCUGUAAGUUACAGCAGCAGCUAGCAAGGAAACAAUUAAGAAAACAAAGUGGAAAAAAACAACAUUAAUAAAAGUAAGAAGAUUGCAAAAUUGAACCAUGCAUGCACGGAAACUUACCCAAACCAGGUCUAAAGAGUAAGAAUUAUGAGAAAAUCCAGCGAAAGCCAUGUUGGUUUCCCAUAAAUUUCAUACUUGCUGUUGUUCUCAGCUCCCUUCUCAGCUCCCUUAAGUGCACAAUUAUUCUCUGUAAAAAUCAAUUGCUCUCUUUCCCUCCAUUUCUUUUUCUUCUUCUUCUCUCUUCUUUUGUUUUUCCUCGUUAUGUCCCUGUUAUUCUUGUCCCUCUUAUCAUCAUCAUCAUCAUCAUCACCCCUGAACGUUGGUUUUGUUUGUUACAGAGCUUAACAAAAGAAUAAAGAAACCAUAUAAGUUGGUUGUGGGCUCGUCUUAGUUAUAGAUUUUCUUAAAAAAACAAAAAACUAGAGGAAGUUAUAGAACAAUUAAAACAAUAACAAUAAUAAUAAAAUAAACACACGCAACUAUAAAAUAAAUAGAUAAAUUCAACUUAGGAUAAAUUCGGAGCGUUACAAUAACUCUCCAAGCCACAACUGUAUUAUGACCAAUAGACAUUUGGAUAAUAACAGAUAGACAAGAAUAAAAUUUAAAAAAAAACAAAAGAGUUAAAAAAGUUGAUAUAAUGAACCUUGCAGUCAAAUGUCAGCUCUAUCUUCUUCGAACGAACUAAAGGCCAACAAGGAAAAUUUCACAUAAAAGCAACCAGAACACCUGCAAAAUAGCUCAAAUUAAAAGUUUUCUGACUCGUUCAGAGAGACACCAACAAUUUCCAAAACUUUUUGUUGGACCAUCUGACAACAUCAUAGAAAACAAGCAACACCAUAUUUAUUGUCUUUAAGUUAUAAAAAGCUUCAAGCUUUGCAGAUGCGAGGAUAAAAUGAGAAACCAACCAUAGAACAUGCCAUGAGAAAGGGCACAACCAGAGGAAAGAUCUCCAAUGUCUCAGUGUGACACUAAUCAUCAUGAAACGAUAUCAACAGAUAUGAUUUACGGAUACAUGAAAUAUAAAAAGCUUCAAAUGAAAUUAAUAUACAGCGAUAGAAUAUAAAAUAAAUAACUUCAUAAAGAAAGGGUUUACAUUAGGGAGAGGGGAAAAAAACUGAGGUUAAAAGCUGAACUCUGGCUACUGUUCUUUCAUUUGUACGUAAAGCCUCUCAAAUUCUUUAGUCAUGGCAUAAUAGAUUCUCAUAUAUAUAUAUAUAUAUAAUAAUGCUGUUGAAAGAAGCCCCUGAACUUAGAAUCACUUCCACUUCUUUAAGUUAUAAGUUUUGGUAUAUUUGAUGAGAUGUAGAAAGGUUCUUAACCCCAUUUUACUUUGCCACUUCAAAACCUGGAAAGUCUCUCGCAAAACCUGAAAUUAGAUGGAUGGAUUUGAAAUGAAAGGAUUUUCUUACAAAAGCUAAAAAAUACAAUGGCACAGUGAAAAUGGGAAAAUGAAAAUUUAAACUCUAUAUCUUUAGGUUUAUGAAGGGAAGACGCCAACAAUCUUCAACCAACCCACUUGAACACACCCUUUUCUCCUCUUUUGACAUACAAGAUUCCUGCAGGAUCUCACAAGGACUUUGGUCUCAAAAGAGUUUGAUAAGGCUUUAGUCUGUGGGGUUGAAUCCAAUUGGCGUUUUAAAUUUAUAGAAAGCCGUGGUCCAAUUCAACCCAAGAAUUAGUUCAACAAUAAAAAAUUCCUCAGGUUUAUAUUGUUAGCUUAGUUAUUAUUCUCCUUCAAUGUGAGAUAAUAUCAUCAAUAAGAUUCCAUCUUACGGUGCAAUUCGGAGAUGAUACGUGUAAUGGUAGACAAUCUAUGUGUGGGGCUGAAUCCAAUUUGGUGCAAAUCAUUUUUAGCCACUUACCUCAACCCCAUCAAGGCAAAUUUUUAGCAUUUCUAUGGUGAAAAUAAUUUUUCUUAAUCAACUGUCUACUUAUACUAUUGACUUUGAAAUAAAUUAAAAUUUCAUUCAACAUAGAACGAUUUGAAUAGGAUCAUACAUCUACUACAAAUACACAUCAAAAUUGAUUAACAGAUUAUUUAUUAGAAGAAGACAAUGGAUUAAAUUACUGUAUUUACAGUUUAUAAAUGCAAUGUAUAUUCACUCUUCCCUUAGUCCACAAGUAAUUAAAGCUUCAAACAGGUGUACACAUAUAAUUGCCUGAAGUCUACCAAGCUUCUGAGUUAAUAUACUCAAAAUAAACUUUUCUACAGUCACAUUUUUGAUAAAUUGGGAUAUUUAACGCCUUUUUUCUUUGAAAGCUCAUUGUUGGAAUUGGUUGCUGAGUUUCCGGUUAUUAAUUGGACUGUAGUCAUUAACACACACACAAAUCCUUGUGGUACAGUCAGAUCAAAUCUGUUAUAGACUAAUUCUUUUACUAGAUACAUGAUUGGAUCUUAAUGAAUGACCGAAGAAGAAAUUGUAAGAACCCAUACAAGUAUUAGAUCUUCUCCUAAAGCUAAUAUUAAUCGAUCAAAACAACUUCAGAUAUUUCCCAAUAAGCCACUAGAUCAGGAUCAAGUUCACAAUUCAAUAUUCCACAUGAUUUUCCCAUUUCAUGAAGUAAUAGGUCCGCCAUUACUAGGUUAUAAGGUAAUAAAAUUAAUUACUUAACAUGCAUUCUAAAUCAUCCUUAAAUUUUAUAUGUUCGGUUCCAGCUGCAGGCAUAACUUUGGAUGGGCACAGAAAGAAAUAAAAUUACGAAAAAAGGAGUAAAAAUGAAAAAGAAAGAAAAUAUCGAUCAAACCUCUUCUUCAGGAGAAAUCAAACGGAGGGACGGAGCUGGUUUUUGAUCUACAGAUGACUCCAUGGAUAAUCCCUUGAAGCCCCCAACGCUCUAUUUGAUUUUUUUUUUUUUUUUUUUUUGGGUACGUAAGAAUUAUUUUCCACCAAGAACUUGAACUGGGGAAGAGAAAGGCCCGGAGACGUGUGUAGAUAAGGCAGCGACUUACAGUCCUAACGCUGCAACGUGGUCCAAUUCCUUCUCAACGAAGAAAAACAUACGACUCUUGUCAUCUUCAAAGAAACAUGUCAAAUGUCACGUGCAGGGGACCCGUUUUGAAAACUGUCGUCUCAUCCUUAUUAUUUUAUUUUAAAUUUAUAAAUGUAAAAUCUUAAUUUAUAAAGCUGAAUUGGUAUAUAUGUAUAGAAAACGGAAAAGUGCUUUUUAGCUCUUUUCUUUAAUAAAGACGAAAAUAAAAAAAGAGCCAAUAUGGAAAUAAGUACGAGAAGCGGAAAAGUGCUUUUUAGCUCUUUUCUUUAAUAAAGACGAAAAUAGCAACUAAACUAAAAGCUACCUGUCAUUUCACGAGAUCCACUGACAUUGACACAAUAAAAAAACAAACACUUUCCAUUCCAAAAGAAAAAAAUAUAAUAUAAUAAAUGUAAAUACAAUUAUUAAAUUUAAUAUUAUAAUAGAUGCAACAAGGAGGACGAAAUCGAGAAUUUACCCUCCAAUUCGAUCGCAAUAGACGUGAUCGAAAGUCAUUAAUGCCCCUUCAACCAAUUGUAGCUGCGACAGCGACACGACCCGGCGCCCCGCAGCAGUCGCUUUCGAAGUGUGAAAUUGUGGAGGUUCUACCCCUAUAAUUGAACUUUAAAGUUUAAUGUCAUAAUACAAGUCUUAAUUAUGUAUAUCUAAUUAUUAAUCAGUAUUUAAAAAAAAAAAAACUUUAAAGUUUAGGCUAAUUCUCGCGUUUUGAAUAUUAACGAAGUUGCACUGAAGUUUCAUGAAUCUCGCGGAUGGUUGCUUGCUCUUAAGCUUUGUAAUUAGUAUCGUCGGGGGAAAAAAAAAAAAAAGCUUUGUAAUUAGUAGUUUGAUUUUUUUUUUUUUUUUUAUAUUGAGGCUAUAUGGUAAAAUGUUUUCUUUUUUGUCAGAAAAACUUUCCAUUAACACCCACCAUCGUCCUAGAGUUUUCUUGCAUGUUAUAAGCGUCAAAUUAAUGUUAUUUUAUUUUUUAUUUGGAAAUAAAUUUAAUAUUCCAUGCAUUCGAUGGAGGCUUCAGCACUGGCGAGCAGUACCAUAACAGAAUCUCAUAUUCUUAAUAUAUUUUUUUUUUCAAUUUUCAAUUUCUUCUUCACUCUAAAAGAUUAAAUUUUAAAAAUUUCAAAGAAACAUUUCUUUAAGAGAGCUUUAAAAGUUUAAACUCACUACUACAAAACUGAUUUUUUUUUGACAGAAUACCUUUUCACAUGUUUAUUUAUGUGUCAAAGUUUUGCCUCAUAUAUUAUUUUGCUGAUGUGGCAAACACAAUUAUUUCAAAAUCUUAGAGGCCUUGCAAUUUCGAUUAUUCUAUAAGAGACUAGUGACAAAAUACUGUUACAAAUAGUAAGUUAAAUGAUUCUUGAUAGAAUACUAUCAAAAAAUUUAAAUAAAAUCUCUCAUUUUAAUAUUUAAAAAACUGUGUUUUAAAUAUUUUAAAUUUUUCUUGACAUAAUUCUAUCAAUGAAUUUUAAAUUUUAAAUUCCAUGUAGGCAUUGAAAAAUGACAUAGUCUUAAAAGAUAUCAUUGACUUAAUUGAUGAGAAUAUAUCUAUAAUGAAUCAAUGACAAAAUUCUAUUAAACAAAAUUUAUUAUUUUAAUUAUUUUAUGUUGCCACAUCAAUAAAUUAAAAUGAUGACAUUUCAUAUGCUCAAAAGAGAAUAACUUAUUUAAGCCGAAUUCACCACCUCAUCAAAUUGAAAAGGUUUGCUCGACCAAGAAGAAUCUACCAUGUAGAAAAUUCAAUGAGUCUUUUGAAAAGUUGGGCUUCAGUCUAAGCCUAAGUGCAUUAGGUCGGGCUCAUCCAUUUUAAGUGAAGCCUAAGCUCGGACAAAGAACCCAAUAAAUGCUCAAAAAGAUAAAAGAAUAUAUAUUUAUUUUUAAUUAAAAUACACGUUUUAAUAUUUGCUUAAUCUAUCUGUAACAUAUAUUUAAAGUUUGAAUUCUUUAGCACAACUUUUAAUACCUAAUCUAAUAAAAAAAAGUUUAUAAAUUAUAAAAUUUAAAAAGUACAAUGAAAAAGGUUUAAAAAAAAUUGAAGUAUAAAUCUGAGCUUUUACAAUAAAAUAUCAAAUGGUGGCAAAAUGGGCCCGAAAAGUGCACCAAAUCAAAAUUAUUAAAAGUUCCACUAUUCUAGAGUUAUUACUAAUUAUCAAAAUUAUUAAAAAUUCCACAGCAAAGCAAAUGUGGAAAUUAACCCCUUUUUUUGGAGGAUAAGGAGGAUCUGAGAUUGAUAAUUGCACUGUGGUGGAUAGCAUGGAAUACAAGAAAUCUUUUUGUUUUUGAGAAGAAAAUGCUGGAACCACAGAGGGCAGUAGCUAAAGCUGAAGCUAUGGCGCAGGCAUAUGCUAGAGUUAAAAUGUCCAAAGGGAAAGUGGCAGCAAGAACAGAAGUAACAAGGAAGGUAAGCUGGCUUUCCCCUCCUCAAGGCACUUACAAGAUCAACUUUGAUGCAGCAAUUAACAGAGAAACACACCAAGGAGGGCUGGGAGUGGUGAUUAGAGGUGGGAAUGGAAGUGUUUUGACUGCAGCAGUUCAACAGAUAAAUUUUAAUGGUGAUGUAGCUCAGAUAGGAGCAGCAGCCGUUAAGUUGGGGAUCCAGAUGGCAAAGGAUGGAGAGUGGACCCCUUUGAUCAUUGAAACUGAUUGUAAAGAGGUUGUUGAGUUGGUGUUGCAAAAGAAGAGUAGCAGAACGGAGAUAUGUUGGAUCAUUGCCGAUAUCCAAAACAAAAUGGAGGGAGACAACAUGACUGUAAUCCGGCACAUUCCAAGUUGCGCAUGCUUUAGCUAAAAUAGCUGUAGUGAUUUAAUUGCCUUGAUUCUAAUAAGCAAUAAACCACUGCCCAAGAACAUUUACCAAGAUCAAUACAAGUUGCAAUUAACCAAUAAUCAAUCUGAAGCUCCAAUAACGAAAAAAAACCUUAGCUCUAGGUUAAUGGAGAUCUAACAGAAGAUUAAAACAGAUCAAGAAGCAAACACACUCACUCAAAGACAGGAUUUAACGUGGUUCGAUAGUACAUGGAAUGCACAAUCAACAUCCACGGGAGAAGCCACAGAAAAAGCUUUAUUGAUGAUUCAAGAUGACAAUUACAGAGCUUCUAUACAAGAGAUUACAAGCAACAAGAAGAUUACCCUCUCUCACUCUUCAAUCUCUCUGGAAAGCUCUCUUCAAAAUCUGUCUGUUUUCCCUUCAACAAUCGGCCUUUAUACUCCUGAUGUUGAAACCUAGAUUGCACAGCUUCUGGACGCGUGUAUAACGACUUCAUAACGGCUUUGAUUCCCUCCCUCACAUGCUGUUUCACGUGCCUAACUUAAGUUUGCUCAAAACGACAGAAGCUAGAGUCGUUUUUCCUUGAGUGUAGUGAAGAGAACAGGACGCACAAAGCACGUGAUUUGUAAAUGAUUUUACUAACCCAAAACACAGUCGUUUUAGGGCUUCUAGUUUUGGAUUCAUCUCAUUUUAGUCCACAAUAGCUUUAGCAGGCAGUGAUCUUUGUGUUUGGAGGGGAUCAUUUCCUCCUCAAAUCAUGGAUGUAAUCACUCAGUUGGUUUUAAUGAAAGCUUUUCUUUCUAUCCAAAAAAAAAAAAAAUCUACUAUUCAAUCCCCAAAAUUUUUAUGUGCCGCCGAAAUAAAAUUAGAGUAAUGAUAUAGCCACAAACUCUUGUAUAAACUUAUUUUGUAUAAACUGAUGUGGCAUGAUAAGAUUGGUUGAAUUAAAUAUCACUUGGUCCACAUGAUUUUUUUUUAUUAUUUUAUAUUUUCAUUCAACCAAUGAAUUAAUGCCACGUCAGUUUGUACAAAAUAAGUUUGUACAAGAGUUUGUGGCUGUAUCAUUACUCAUAAAAUUAACACAAAAACAUGUUGUCAUUGAAAGGUUAGAACGAAACUCUCGGCUCUCUCUGGCACUUUGCCUUCCUCUUUGGCACUUUAUCUCCCUCUCACAAAUGUUAAACCUCACCUGUCAAAAGUAACAUGCAAAAUUUAUGUUUCUUGAUCUAGUCCUGACAAAUAACCCGUUUGCUUUCAUCACUUCCUGAGCAAUCAUCUCCAAAAAUGAAACAAAUGAAAUUCAAAUAGGUAAUUUAAUAGUUUUGGGGUUCGGCUUUUUAUUCUUCUCUCCAGAUUUUUUUUUUUUUUUUUUUUUUUGGGCCUCUGAAAUAAUCUUAAAACAAUAAUUUUUUUUUUUUUGUAUAAUUUCAGCAAGGUCCAGAUUGCUCAAGAGGUAAUUUCAUCUCAAGAUUGUCUUUACCUCUUGCUUGGCUUUCAUUGGUUUCUCAUGUGCGCUAGCUUUUGACAUUACUUGACCUUGUUCUUUGUUUGUUAUAAAUUUAUUCAGGCUUUUUUACAUUAUAAUUUAAGGUCUUUGUUUACUUUUAUUAAAAUUUAUGAUAUACGAAUAGUAAUUUUGGCUUGUUUGCAUAAUUGUGGUCGCUAUUAUUACAAGAUUUUUUGUUGCAAUUUUUGACGUAUUUCUUGUUGUGAUUGUCGAAUUAGUCUCGAUUGUAAUGAGCAUGAAGAUUUAAAUAUUUAAUGGAUGUUAAAAUUUAAGUAACAACUAGAAUUUGUACACCAAGGCCAUGUUUGCUUGGGGGUAGAGAAGUGUGAAGAGGAAAAGAAUUUGAUUUCUUUUAUACUUUGUAUUGUUUGGUUAGACCAAAUUUAAUAGAAUUGAAUUUUCAUUGAAAUUCAAUUUCCAUCAAUUUGAACAAUUUGUAUUCCUUUUCAAUGACUAAGGAUUUCAAAUUCCUUAUCUAUUUAAACACAAAAAUUCCAAUAUUAUCCUCUAAACAAAAUCAAUUUUAAAUAAAUUAAAGUACAAAUAAUUUAUAUUUAUUUUCUUAAAUUAAUAGGAUAAACUUAUUUGAAAAAGAAGAAACAGUAAAGUAACUCGUUGGAGUUUCGUCGGAGACACGCUUUACCAUCAAAACCAGUACCAAUGGAAUCCUCAUGAGCCGAUCUACAACUCUAUGGGGUUAGAAAUGCUAAUAUACAUUUUUAUUUAACUCAAGUCUUGUUUAAAUGCUUGGGAAAUUUUUAACUCUCAUAUUUCCAACUAUAUAGUGUAUUUUCUGCAAAAUUAACAUUUCUGAUGAGUAAAUCGUCCAUUUUUAUCAUUAUUAUGCAUUUAACGAGAUGAAAAAUGGUGGUCAACAAUAGUCAAUGGCGGUCAACGGCGAUCAACGUGCAUGGCCAAAUGCUGUAAUUUUAAAAAAAUAAUUUUGUUAUUUAAUUAGGUAAUUUAUAGAUUAACUUAAUUCAUAUUUUUAUUAUUUUUUAAUUUAUUAACACUAUUAACAUUAAAGAUAAUGGGUAUAUUUGUCCAAAUAAAAAAUAUGUAAUUUCUUUUCCUUUCAAAUUUAAUGUGAAACCAAAAAAUAACAAUUAAUUUUUGCACUAUUUUCCUCUCAUCACCUCUCCAUUCCUCUCCUUUUUUCUCCUCUAUUUUCCUAUCCUUUUUUAAAACUAAACACCACCCAAAGUGUUUGUUAUAAUGCCGUGUGUUAUUGUCAAUAGUUUUUUUUUUUAACUAACAGCAUAAACUUGAUAAUAUUUUUUAAUUUUUUUUCCAAGAUGCAGUUUUUUGAUAAAGAAUAAACCAAAUGAUUAAGAGUGUUUAGAUACAAUUUUCAAAUUAGAGCAUAUGAUAAUUUAAAAGUAAUUGAUUUCCCAAGAGUAAAAUUAUGAUAUUUCAUCUCAAGGCAACUUAUAUUGUUAGCUGAUUUUAUGAGUCAGUUUAACAAUUUUCUACACAAAUAAAAUAGUUGUUUAAGUACUACAUAAAUAUAUGUGUUGUAAUUUCAUCUCAAAGCAGCAUGCGCAUGAAGUGGCAACGAAAUACAACAAAAAAAAGUUGUUAAGUAUUACAAAGUGAUAAUUCUCAUGAUGAAAUUAGAAUUUGUAAAUUGGCCUAAAUACUAUUUAAUAUUUACUUGUAAAAAGCCUAUGGCAUGAGAUUCACUUGCUAAGAUAUUGGAGUAGUGUUGAUGCAAUUUUCUGUCAUGCCUGCAGAUUCAACUUGCCAGGAUUUCGGUUAUGCCUUCAGGUUCAAGUAUUGUUGCUGAUUAAGCGAGCUGUUGAGAUAAUUGAGCAUGGCUUUAGAUUCAAUUUCAGCAAAUGUGUGGGGAGAGGAUUUAAUUCGAAUGAUUUAUGGUUCUGUAAAAAAAGAAAAUUUCUUUAUGUUAACUUGCAACAAUAUGUAUGUAAAUUUUUACGAUAUUAGCAAUAUUUAAUAACAGAAUAGUUGAAAUAUUUUUAAAUUGCAUUGUAGUUUUUAAAAAUAUAUAAUCAAUAUAUGAUUUUAUUAUUGUAAUUGUACAACAAAAAUAAGGGUUGUUGGUAAUUGAAAGAAAAACAAAUUAAUUAUUUUAAAAUAAAUAAUAAUAUUGACCCAAAUUUUUUACAUAAAUUAAGCUCAAAAAAAUUAAUCAGCAUAAAAUGUCAGAAGCUAUUGAUUAGCAUCUAUCAUUGAUUUGUGAUAGAAUUAUAAUGUUAUGUAAGCAUAAAAUUUAUUUGCCAUGUCAAAUGUCAUGUCUGCAAAAUAUGAUGACAUGUCAUCUACCAUGUCAAAUGCCAUGUUUGCAAAAUGAGAUGUCAUGUCAUUUGCUACAUUAGAUUUAAUGUAAAUAGUGAAUUGUAAUACAAUUCCUUGACAGAAAUAUUUUGUCACUAAUUAUUGAAUUUUUUGUCACUAUAUUCUUACAAGGACUUUUUUGACAGAAUAAAAUUAUGUCGGUAACAUGAUUUGUGACAAAAUUUUUCUGUCAAAAAAUCCCAUUUUUUUUAGUGGUGCAUGAGAAAGGAAUUAGUCUAUGGUUAAGGCAUGUGCAAUGAGAUAUCUCACUAGCUCAGAUUCAAUAUUGACGAGAGUUGUGUUGAUUAUUUCAAAGAUCUUGUAUUGUAUAUUUAUUUAUUAUAUUAUAUGGGUAUGAGUUAAUUACAAUAUAUAUCAUGAAAACAAUAUUUACUCAUAAAGGGUCUUCAGCCAUAGUUCUUUCAUCUUUGUUUCUGUGGCGUUACAAACAUUCGAAAAUCCAUUUGUGGUAUUCAUGGAUAAAGAAAAUGCUUCUAAUUUGAUCCAAUUAAUAAAAAGAGCGUGCUUUUGAUAUUCGUGGACUAAGGGGACGUUUGAUCUAAUUCGUUGAUUUAUAGAAAUUUAUGGUCUAACUCAACUCAAAAACUAGUUCAAAAAUUGAAAUUUCUUACCCCAUCAGUCUCCAUUUAAUUUUUAAAUACCUCUCCUGAGAUUUGAGGUAUUCAUUCAGAUGGCGGGUUUACUCAUAUUUUCACAUACUUCUCCCUCUGCUGUCUAUAUAAAUGCAUGUAUGGUAUUAGUAUACAAGGGUAAAUUCGUUAAGGUUGUUGGCUUGUGUGGGGAUCUUGUAAUCAGGCUUUUAUUCCCAAAGGAGAGGAUUUGAAUGUGUUGCCCGCUCUCCCAAUAUACAAAGGGUGAGCACAGCUAAAAUUAGGUUGCAGAUUAGGACAUUAACUACUUAGAGAAACUUUCUCAUUUUAGUUGCUAAUUAGUCACACUUAAAUUUACAAUAAUUGGAGCUUAAUUAAUUGAUAACGGUAACAAAUAUCAGACCUAACUUAAAGGCUGAGUGGUUAGAACAGCUGCUCCAUAUUUAAAAGUAGGGCCUUGACGCUUAUAUUCUUUGAAAUGAUCCUCCUAUCUUACAACUAAUGUAAGAUAACAAUGUGUGAACCCCAUAUAUGCACUGUUCAUGUGAGGGGGAUGUAUCUUACAUUAGUUGUAAGAUAGUGUUUGCCUCUUUGAAAACCUCAUUCUAGAAAUUGCUUUUUGAGUAUUAUUAGUUGAAAAAUUGUCAUUAAUACACACUCACACGCACACUUAUGGUACCGUUAGAUAGAAUCUGUUAUAAAUUAAUUAAUUCCAACAUGUUUCUUUUACUAGCUAGUUGGUUUUUUAAACAUGUGUAUGAAUUAUCUAAUGCUAUGUAACACAUAAUCCAGCACAACAAGAUUAAAUUAAACAGAAGACUUAUGAGGCUUGAAAGUCACAAAGCAGGCUUUUCUAUUAUAAUACAACAUGCAGUAUUGCCUUCGGUGGAAAAAAAAGAGAGCUUAAAUUUAAUGUUAAUUUUGGGAUAAUUAUUUUCAGGAGUAAUUUUUUAAAGAGAUGAAUCAAUUUUAUAAAUUGUCUUUUUGCGGCGGGGGACAAAUUAAUAUUUUCCAUUUUAUUUUAAAUCAGAGUUAGGAUCUAGCUAUGGUGCAGCUGAUGUGUGUAUAUGCGUGUGGUGUGUGAGUGUUGUGCGUGCGUUACUUUUUUUUUAAAUUUUAGCCAACCCGAUCGGAUUUUCGGAUCGGAUCGGGUUUGACCUGAUCCAAUCACGACCCGAUCGGGUGAUUUUAAAAAUCACCCGAUCAGGUAUUAUCCUCCAUCCGAUCCGAUCCGAUCUUAACCCGAUUUUUUUUGAAUCGGGUCGGAUUGGAUCGGAUAAAAUGCCCACCCCUAGUUCAUAGUUCAUAGGGUGAUGGCAGUUUUCAACUUCAAGCAAGAAAUCAGAAGUAUGGCAAGGUGUGUCAUGUUUGAACAGGUGCAUCUUCUGCACUUUUUUAUCUUUACACUCACUCUUUUACAAGGAAGAACAAUGUAGAUGUGAAGGAAUGGCCAAUAACAUCAGUACAAGAAAAAAAAAAUAAUAAUAAUAUUACUAUUAUUAUUAUUAUUAUUAUUAUUAUUAUUAUUAUUAUUAUUAUUAUUAGUAGGUAAAUUUAAUGUCCAACUAUCAAUUUCCUUUUUCCUUUUUUGGCUUAGAAUUAAGCUGCCAAUUUGACAAGCCUUGAGGAAAGGAAAGUUGUACUUUAAAAUUAUGCCUUGGCAUGGGCAAAUCAAUAUUUGCUUGCAGCUAACUAACUGUUGAGGAUGGGAACUUUAGAAUUCCAAAGAAGACUAGGAGUAACUUAGUGUAUUGAUAAUAACAAUGUUUAUGAUUCAUUUCUUCAUCUAGGAAACAGAAAAAUUUCAUUGUAAAAUUGUUUCUCUUUUUCACUUUAAGACCUAGCAUUACAGCCAUCAAUAUUAUUUCAUUAGCAUCAGUUUUUCAUCCUAUUCAUACCUCUAAUGUAUUGAUAUGGACAUGUACCAAUACGCCUUCAGCUCGAGAGGGGUCAACUGCUCAGAGUCGAUCCUUAUCUAGUCAGGAGAUGGAAACAACAUUUUCACCACCUGGAACAGUAUGGAAUUGACUAGAUAAUUGGAUGUAAUGGAUACAUCUGGAUUGGUGAGCAUGUUGAAGCCAGAGACAAGAUGGCGGUGGAUCAAGGAAGCGAUUCUGAACAACCGAUCACCAAAUAUGAUAAAAUUUCCAUGGAUCUUGAUGAACAAGAUGGAACUUGCACUCCACGAGAAGCGAGACAGAACAUUUGCAGAAUUGCAAUUCUUUUAUUUGGGGUUAGGCCUUUGGUGGUUUGGCAUUGUUUGUUUUUCCAAGUUGUACACGUUUCUGGGAUUUGCUUCAUUCGUUCGCAGGGAGCACGGUUUAUUUCUUGUUAUCUCCAUAGGCGUGAAUGCUUAUAUUACGUGUUAUUGUUAAGAUGCAUGUACUACUUCAGUUCUGAUAACUUAUGUCCAUCAGGAUUAGGCAGCGGCGCAUGUUUGUGUCAUCAUUCAAAGUAUCACUACUAUUCUUUUAUAAUUCUGUUCAAUGUUGUAGCCCUUAACUCAUAUUUGUUCCUUCCUUCUGGCGAUUGAUCCUUGAAGUCUCUUUGUUGGUUCAAUUUUAGUUUUUAUGGUUGCACAGAAGAAUGUGGUCUGCAUGUAUUCAGUGUCAUUAAUUUGCAGCAAUGAUCAUUGUAUCCCACUUUCCGCUUGCAGCUUUGGGAAAUUCACAAUAAGCCCUGUCAGUCUGGGUCUUUCUAUAUGCAUGUGCCUCUAUUCGGGUGCAUGCUUGUCUGUGGUAUGUGAGCAUGCUUGUGAUACAAUUAUCUAAUGCCUACUAUUUCAUUGAUUGUGGAGAAGAGUAGGGUGUAUGCACAUUGGGUUGAUUGGCAGAAUGGUAUGUCUGUCAUUGUUACAUCCAUUCCUUCUUGAUAACGGUUGCAAAAUUCUUGUUACAAAGUUCUUGGCCUUGCUAAAUCUUUCACUUACAAACCCGUACAGGUGGUCACUGACUCAAUCAUAAAGUUACUGAUAUGGAUUCUCAACAAGGAUUAGACACAGGUGUCGCUCUCAAGUUCAAUAAUAACACGGAUCCAUAAAUUAAGUCUUGACAACAUAACGAGUAAUUUCUGUUUCUUCAAUGCUUGUAACAAUGAAGUUGGUGAAGCUAGUCUUUUCAUUUCAAAUGUACUAGUUCUGCUUUCCAAUUCUUCAUCUUCAUCAUUCUCACCAUGUCCAUCUCUAGUAGAGGGGGUGGACUCCUCGGCAAUUUUGGCAGCAUUUCUUUUUUCAACAUUCAACCUGAUCUGCAACUUUCUUUCAACAGGAUCAUUUGAGGGUCCAAUUUUUUAUUGGCAUGAAACUUUUGUGCCAAGUCCAAGCCUACGACAACACGAGGAAUGUUAUUUCCAGCAUCCUAUGAUGACGAAAAAAAUUAGGAUGGAUACACUGACCUAGAAGGCCUGGCCUCCAGUGUUUUCUAAAAAAAUUUCUUGUCAUCUAUCUACUUGCUGUUUAUUACUACUAAAAAAAUUAACCCUGAACCUUCUAAUAAUACUUAUGGAUGCCACUGUUGCAAUAAAUAAUUUAUAUCUGCCUAUUUAAAGAUCAAACAUAUUAGAAAAAGGAAAAAUAAAACAAAACAAACAAAAACUGUCUGCCAAGUACACUGAGCAAGUAGAUAUUCCAACUUCAAUCAAUCGAAAAAGAAAUUAAAUCUUACCCAGAUGCAUCUCUAUGAAGGCGAUCUGCAACCCAUGCCAGCAGCUUGCGGAUGCAGUCAAUAGAUCCUCCUCUAGCUGCCAAGUGAAGAGGAGUGCUUCCUCUGCAAACAAACAGAUAAAGAAAUAAAUAUAGAAUAAAAAUGAAAAAGAGAAACGGACAUCAACAGGUGAAGAAUUACCAAAAUGAAUGUGAUCCCAAAGCUUCUCAAAGAUCUCGUGACUUCUAUACGGUGAGAUUAUGGCCACAACGCCAGGAUUUGCACUUUCGGCUUAGGUUGUUGUGUGUUGAUUGAAAGCUGCAAGGGCUUAGUCAUCCAUAUACAACCAUGUCAAAAGCUAGCCCUGCCCAACUAAGGCCAAAUGGAUGACAAAUAGUGAACAUUAUCCCACAGACAGGAAACUUGGUCUUCCCUCUUAUAUUAAAAAAUGAAUUCUUGCCAAAUAACCCAAAAAGGAGCUAGAACAUUACACUGCCCGAGAACCUUAGGUUCUAUCCUUGCCCAAAAGCAAAAAACAUUUUCCAUUAGCAAAUAGCUACAAGAAUUUGGAGCAUCCCAAAAUCAAUAACAUAAUUGAGAAUCAAUGCAUGUAUCCGCAAGCAUUUAUUUAGUAGACAACUGAUUCCCAAAACAAUUUUAAAUUUCUGACAGAAUUACUUUAUUGCCUAAAUUUUACCAAGCUUUUCAGUUAAUAUGCUCAAAAUACAAUCCACAGCUGCAUUUAAAUAAAUUGGGUUAUUUAAAGCCUACAAUCUUUGGAACCUCAUCGAAUUGCUACCAAAAGUAAUCCACACCAAACAAUCAACACGUGAAAUACAAGACCUUUUGAAAUACACGUGAAAUACGGCUGACGAAGAAAUUAGAAACCCAUAGAGGCACUAUACUUCUCCUAAUACUAAUAAUGGAACAAAAUAACAUCAUAAAACACUCAAUAUGCCAUUAGAGGAAUAAAUCCAUACCAAUGACGAGCUAAAUAUGACGUUUUUCUAGAAUUAAUAAUUCUUGAAACAAAAAAGCACAGUAAUUAUCUGCAUUUGAAAUAAUCCUAAAACCAGGAUAAUGACUUAUUUAUGUCAUGAAAAGAACCUACAAACGCUUAUUUUUUAAUCUUUUUAAUUUCCAAGCAAAAACAACAUUCUUCUAUUCUUUUGUCAACAAUAAAACAAGUUAUGUUACAAUAAUUAUUUUCAACAUAGAACUUGAACCCUGGGAGAGAUAAAAGGAAAAGACAUAGAUGUCUGACUGAGAGAGAGUUAAGACAGUGUGAGAGGUAAAAGAACAACACGGCUUAGAAGUUAGAAUCAUCAUCCACUUAUCUCCCUUAGUCGUUGGUGUAAAAGUCCUCAUAGAAGAAAGAAAUAUUAUUUUGAAGGGUAAAAUGUAAACAAAUUAAAAUUUUAGAUAAAAUUGUGACACGUUUAUAUUAAGCGCGUAUAUUAAGAUUUAAGCGAGAGUCGCCAGUAUACCACACAGGUCAGCUCCCAGUUGAACUUGUGAGUUUGGGUUUGAGUUCCAGUCCCACAGUUAGUGAAAGUAGGUAUUAGGUAAUCAUCUUUACCAGCUGAAAUAUGAAAACCUGUUUGUAUAAGCC
rnacentral:lncRNA from 1 species